GAUGAACGCUAGCGGCAGGCCUAAUACAUGCAAGUCGAACGGUGUCUCCGGACAUAGUGGCGCACGGGUGCGUAACACGUAUGCAACCUACCUUACAUUGGGGGAUAGCCUUUCGAAAGGGAGAUUAAUACCGCAUAAGACAGUAGCUGGGCAUCCAGCAGCUGUUAAAGAUUUAUCGAUGUAAGCUGGGCAUGCGUCCAAUUAGCUAGUUGGUGAGGUAACGGCUCACCAAGGCAAUGAUUGGUAGGGGAACUGAGAGGUCAAUCCCCCACACUGGCACAGAGAUACGGGCCAGACUCCUACGGGAGGCAGCAGUAGGGAAUAUUGGGCAAUGGACGCAAGUCUGACCCAGCCAUGCCGCGUGCAGGAUGAAGGCGUUAUGCGUUGUAAACUGCUUUUAUACAGGAAGAAACGACUCUUGCGAGAGGCAUUGACGGUACUGUAUGAAUAAGCACCGGCUAACUCCGUGCCAGCAGCCGCGGUAAAAC
rnacentral:rRNA from 1 species